rnacentral:misc_RNA from 1 species
UCCGGUUUGACACCGGCAGUCUCCCAUGAGUCCCCGACAUGACUCGCUGGCAACAUGGGAUAAGGGUUGUGCUCGUUGCGGGACUUAACCCAACACCUCACGGCACGAGCUGACGACAGCCAUGCACCACCUGUCAGGGGCCCUUACGGACACUGCAUCUCUGCAGCUUUUCCCCUGAUGUCAAACCCAGGUAAGGUUCUUCGCGUUGCCUCGAAUUAAGCCACAUGCUCCGCCGCUUGUGCGGGUCCCCGUCAAUUCCUUUGAGUUUUAACCUUGCGGCCGUACUCCCCAGGCGGUGGGCUUAACGCGUUAGCUGCGACACCGAGGGGCAAGCCCCCCGACGUCUAGCCCACAUCGUUUAGGGCGUGGACUAC